rnacentral:rRNA from 1 species
UACGUAGGUGGCAAGCGUUGUCCGGAUUUACUGGGCGUAAAGGGCGUGCAGGCGGUCUGUUAAGUGCAGGGUGAAAGCUCCCGGCUCAACUGGGAGAGGUCCUUGCAUACUGGCGGACUUGAGGGGGGUAGAGGAAAGUGGAAUUCCCGGUGUAGUGGUGAUAUGCGUAGAUAUCGGGAGGAACACCUGUGGCGAAGGCGGCUUUCUGGGCCCUACCUGACGCUGAGACGCGAAAAGCGUGGGGAGCAAACAGG